ensembl:processed_transcript C030047K22Rik RIKEN cDNA C030047K22 gene
ACGGAGAGAAAGGUUCUGCUGAUGGAGCUGCAGCACUCGCCAUGGGAAGGUUAGAGACUGGAAGUGCCGGCUCCUGCCAGCACACAGCGAUUUGCAAGUGAAUGCGAGGGAGGGAGCAUCCGAGAGGAGGGCUGCGCAUGAAAGGCGUCCCCUCCCCCGCAGGGCAGAAAGACUCUCUGUUUCCAGCCUAAGAUUCACAGGAGGAACUCUUGGUUUAAUGGACUGCUGUCAUAUUUGGAAUUUCUUCAUGCUUCUCAACCAGAGAGGUGGAGUCCAUGAUCGCAGAACAAAGGAAACACUGAGAGGUUACAUCUUGAUUCACAAGGACGUGACAGAGAAAUGGUGCUGGAAAGGCUUAGGCAUUUUGAGAACUCAAAGUUUUACCUCAGUGACCUAUCUUCACCAAGCAGGCAUUGCUGCUGGAGCAGAUUUACGCGUCAAUCACCAUCCCAGGAAAGAACUUUGAGAUGUAGAUUGUCAGCACUGACCACCAGCCUUUAGAAGCAUUUGGAAAUCGCUUCUUGGCCUUUUGGCUCUGAUCAAGUGUAGAAGCAUUUGGAAAAAUACAGUUGUUACUCAUGUUUUUCUACUGGUUCUGAUGUAGAAAAUCUUAAGGAACAAUGUAAGUUCAGAAAAGCACGCUCUUAUUAGUU